CAGCCAUUACUUUUGAUGCUUGAAAAUUUCCUUGAUUCCUGGAAUUACUUCCUGGUUUUGAGAUGCCUUCAUGAGUUCAUUGCUUCUUUUCCCAAAUAACCACUGUCCUGACAGAUCACAAAGCUGUCACAUGCAUGUUUACAAAAGAACACAGAAUCAGAUUAUAUAACAGCCUUGCAGUUGCUAAAGAUGUUUGUUAAGGAUGAGCUAAAGAUCCUAUUUCAGAAACGUGGCAAAGUUUUUAAGUCUUUGUCUGAAAAGCAGCUUGGUUGACACUUGGAGCACAGCAAAGAAAAUACAGGAGUUCCUUGCACCAUUUAGAGUCAUAAGACGGAAUCCAAAAAGGAAGAAAAUGCUUCUACCGAGUUUGAAUAAUACUGAGAAAACCUCACGAACUUUAUUAACAGUUGGGUGAGACAAUAUCUUCUGCUUCCAGAGAUACAGCCUGAGAUUGUGAACUUCCGUGCUGUUCACACCCUACUCCAUGAAUCGCCCUCCAUGCUCCUCUCAAGAGUCCACACUAUUAGUUAAAGAAUGAAGUUCUGAAAAAUGAGGAAGGCUUUAGUUCAAAUGCUGCCCUAAUACUUGCAUAGCACAUAAACUGCACCUGGCACAUGGCAGGCUAAUCAACUUGGAAGAUUGGUCAGACACCUUAGCAACAACACUCAGAAUAAAUGCAUGAAAUUACAUAUUCUUGGCUUAUUAUAGCUACUUUUGAAUGAGAAUUUUUAAGAUUUAUAAAACCAACCAAACAGAAGAAUGACCAUGUGGCAAGGCUAACCCAAGGAGGU
rnacentral:lncRNA from 1 species